GCCGGAGUGGCGAAAUUGGUAGACGCAUCAGACUCAAAAUCUGACGCAGCUCACCCUGCGUGCCGGUUCGAGUCCGGCCUUCGGCA
rnacentral:tRNA from 1 species